rnacentral:lncRNA from 1 species
ACAGAAUGGCAAGAAAUUUUAUUUAAUACAAUUUGUACCACAUCAAGGUCAAAAUAUUUUAGCAUCAUGUUGCAUUCUAAACAGCAGGCAACGGUGGAGGCGAAGCUGGACCAUCAGGAACAAUAGGUGGGAAAGGAAUCACGGGAGGGAUUGGAAUGCUGGGAAAUGGUGGAAGUGGGAAUGGAAAGCUAGGUAAUGGUGGGAAUGGGAAUAUUUCAGGAAGUGGUGGGAACGGGAAUGGGAAUUCAAAAGGUGGUUCUCCAGGAAAUGUGAAAUCCUUUUCCGCACUUUUUCCAUUAGAAACAUCUGAUUUUUCAUAAAUCGGACGAGCCUCUCCCAAACAUGCUAGGCACACAAGCAAGAUCGCCACGACCAUUACUUUGGAAGCCAUUUCUUAGAGUGUUUUUCAGUGUUUGAGAGGUGAAUGUAAACUGAGUUUGAUGCAAUCCCUGCAUGUGCCUAAGAUUUAUAUAGGAGCAGCCAGCAGGCUAGUAAGUUGUAAUCAAUCUGAGAAGGUAACAAUAUCAGCUUUAUCAAUUCAUGCUGAUUUGUAACUGAAAGUUUCAAGUUCCUAUUUGGAAAUAAAAUAAUAAGUUAAAAAUAGUUAGAAGUCAUAUAUUGCAGAAAAUAUGGUAAAAAUCAUGAAAUAUGAAUAAUUAAGAAUUUGAUUAUGUAAUUAAGUGGUUGGGAGUGAUUUGAUUUUAUGUGUAACUUUAGAUUAGCUAAUUUUGAUUAUGUAAUAACACCAAUUUAUUGUAGUUGUUAGCAGACAAUAAUUAUAUAAUAUAUAUAUUGUGCAAAGUACAUCAAAUGGAAUCAAACAAUUCCCAUACAAGCCAAAUGCUUCUGGUCCAUUGAGUGCUUAAUCUUCAUAACCAUAGUAAUCAGUCUGGAUCUAAAUAUGAAACUUGAGCAACAAAUUUUCAAUAUAACAUUACACUUACAUUAUUAAUCAUAUGCUAUAUCUACACAAACUUACACUCAUCAUUUACAUAAAAAAGAAGAAAUAAUAAGGUAUGCUUUGCAAGAUUAGAGUAACUAUAAAACAAAGAAGUCAUAGCAGCAGAGAUAUUAGCUGUUGGUCCUGUUAUAUGCAAUUUUUCCGAUGACUGAUACAGGAAGGUUAACAAUGUGCCCUUGAUUACUAAAGAGUCCGAUUCUUCCAAAGCUUGCAACACUGCUGCUUAUUGUGGCGUUAUUGUACAUGGUCAGAACCUGUUGUCCUCCAUUUGCAAUGAAAAAAUGUCUAGGCUCCACACUAAGAGAAGCUCUGUAGGGAGCACUCCAACCAACACUGCAAGUCUCAUCCCUGGCAAUGUUGAUCACUGUUCUUGGACCAUUCUGGACUAGUUAAGUUUUGCGAUGGUGAUUGAAGGCAAAUUUAGGUCUAUCCCCGUGGUCAUUGUGGACAUACCACAGCUCUGCCCGGUAUAGUUUAAAACAACUGGUGCAGACCCAUUUAUGCAGCAUAGGAAAUUCAAUUUCUGCAAAAAUUAAAUGCAUGUGGACCAUUUGAGAGUUGACCUCAGUACUUCAUAGGCAUAAUUAACAGCUAAUUAACAGUCUAGAUCAAAAAUAUAAAACUUGAGAAAUAUGUCUCUUUUAAAACUUAAAAUUACACCAUCAUUAAUAAUUUAAUAUUCAUAUAAUCAUAUUCCAUAUCUGCACUAAGUUACGCUCACCAUUUACAUAAUAUAGAAUAGAAUAAAUAGUUAAGGCAUUCUUCGCAAUAAUAUUACAAUAUUGGAGUUGCUAUAUAAAACGAACAAGUUAUAGCAACGUAAGGUGUUGUUACUAACACAGUCGUCGGCUCAACAUUAAAGCAUAAUAAAUUGUCGUUUAGGAUCCUAAAUUUCGUUAGACCACCUAUACGGCUAUACCGACAUCUCAAAAUAGAAAUUGUUGAGUGACAAGGUUGCAAGUCCAACUCCGGCAAGGCAAGGAAUGUUGUUUCCAAGGAUGAUAUAUAUCCUGUGUCAUCAGGCUGACCCUGAGCUAUUGGAUGCCUCAAGCUAGCGGACACAAAUUUUGUGCUCAACAAAAACUUUUCGAAUACUUAAAUUUAUUGUUUCUGAACUGCUGACAGUAAGGCCAUGUCUACUGCAUUCAGAGAAGUCGCAAUAUUUAAAUUUCUUGAACAAUGCAGAUCAAUCAACCUGGACAACUAACUACUCCCUUCAUCCCAAAUUAGAUGGCCCCGUUGACUUUGGGCACACAAUUUAAGGUUCAUUGACCGCUUAGAUACGUGACUUAUUUUUAAAAUUUUAUUUUUGCAAAUAAAAAUUAAAAUAUGAAAUUUUCAUUUAUAAAAAAAAAUAAAAAAAAAUUUCGGAAGUAGACGGUCAAUACACCUAAAGUUACGUGCCCAGAGUCAACGGGGACAUCUAAUUUGGGAUGGAGGUAGUAUCAUUAUUUAGUUAUUACAAUACAUUCCCCGGAGAUAAUAAUGUUCUUGGAGAUGCAGAACACAAUGUAACAAGUAAUGCUCAACACGAAAUCUACUGGCAAAAGCAAUGUUAAUAAAAAAUUGUUGAACACUGAACUUGAACUUGGUAAGUAUAAUAAGGCAAUAUCAUAUCCCUGAUGUAUUUUCUAUGUGAUCAUCGACAUUCUCCUCUAGCCAUCACUAAAAAUUAAAAAAAUCGAUGUUUUGUUUGCAAAAUCAGUGUUCUGCUCUUUAUUUUAUAUGUCGAAGCAGUCAAGCAGAACGAUAUAUUUUUGUUCAAAAUAACAUCUUUCUCCUUCCUCUAACAAUCUAUCACAGUGAUGCCUGAAAGAAAUUUCGCAUUUAAGAAUUCUUAUGUGAUAUCAUAAGAGUCGAUAACCGAGAUUAAUGCGAGAUAUAAAAAAUUGGAUAAUAACAUUUAAUUAUUUUAAUCAUUUUAUCGUUGUUCUUUUGUACUACGGUCGAUUUUGUGCGGUCAAUUUUAUUUAUAUAUUGAGCUGAGCUUGACUUGUGCAAUCAUAUUUUGAUAUAAUGCACCAAGUGAAGAUUGAAAGCUUUGCAUAGAACCAUGCAGAGUGACAAGAAAUUUGAGCAUACCAAAUACUAAAAAGUUGAGUUAUCAUAACAAUUCGAAAGAAUAUAAGUACAAAUCUUAUAAUUUUAUUUAAUGCAAUUUCCACCACAUCAAGGUCAAAAUAAUUUAGCAUCAUGUUUCAUUCUAAACAUCAGGCAAUGGUGGAGGCGAAACCGGACCAUCAGGAACAAGAGGUGGGAAAGGAAUCACGGGAGGGAUUGGAAUGCUGGGAAAUGGUGGAAGUGGGAAUGGAAAGCUAGGUAAUGGUGGAAGUGGGAAUGGAAAGCUAGGUAAUGGUGGAAGUGGGAAUGGAAAGCUAGGUAAUGGUGGAAAUGGGAAUAUUUCAGGAAGUGGUGGGAACGGGAAUGGGAAUUCAAAAGGUGGUUCUCCGGGGAAUGUGAAAUCCUUUUCCGCACUUUUUUCAUUAGAAACAUCUGAUUUUUCAUGAAUCGGACGAGCCUCUCCCAAACAUGUGAGGCACACAAGCGAGAUCGCCAAGACCAAGAUCAUUACUUUGGAAGCCAUUUCUUAAGUGUGUGUGUGUGUGUUUCAGUGUUUGGGAGGUGAAUGUAAACUAUA